CCACUCAGCGGGGCGCGUAGCCUAACCAACAACCUCACUCUUCAUCACAGAAUGAGGGAAAGGGUCCAGGCACCGGUCGAGACGCUCGCUCAGAGACGUGGGAGAAUGUCCUCUGGAAAGGUAGUACUUCGUGCCUCUUAAGGUGCUUGUUUCUCUACAGCUCCAAGCAUCACAGUUUCCUGCUUGUUUGGGUGAUUAGCACGGAGCUGCUGUGUGCUGUGUGUGCCGUGUAUGUGUAUCUGUUCCCGGGCUCCUCAGGGCCCCGGGGGUGAUACGCUUAGCGUAAAAUGGCCCUCCACUCUGCCUACCUAUCUCUCCCAAGACGAGGCCACAGCCUCCCAGUGGAAAAUCCCCAUCCUGGAGUGCUGGGCGAGGAGGGAAUCUGAUUGUUUAACGAGCGAGGGAGUGUGACUCGCUUUCAGCGCAGGGAGAACAACCGUGAGGGGGAAAAGUAAUCACCGCACAAACACACACACAAAAGGAUUGAAAAAUGC